rnacentral:ribozyme from 1 species
UUUUUUUUUUUGUUUUCCGAGACGUAAAAAGUAAUACGGAGGUAUUUCAAGUCGUUUUAAAGAGAAAAAGACCAAGCCGAUUCUGGUGGGUAUAGUAAUGUGAGGUGCUUUUUUUUUUUUUUUUUUUUUUCCUUCCUCCGGGGGAAACAAAAAAAAAAAAAAA